rnacentral:rRNA from 1 species
AUACGUAGGGGGCGAGCGUUGUCCGGAUUUACUGGGUGUAAAGGGCGAGUAGGCGGGCUUGCGAGUCAGAUGUGAAAUACCGAGGCUCAACUUCGGGGCUGCAUUUGAAACUGCGAGUCUUGAGUGAUGGAGAGGCAGGCGGAAUUCCCAGUGUAGCGGUAAAAUGCAUAGAUAUUGGGAAGAACACCAGUGGCGAAGGCGGCCUGCUGGACAUUAACUGACGCUGAGGAGCGAAAGUGUGGGGAGCAAACAGGAUUAGAUACCCUGGUAGUCCACACCGUAAACGAUGGAUACUAGGUGUGCGGGGACUGACCCCCUGCGUGCCGCAGUUAACACAAUAAGUAUCCCACCUGGGGAGUACGAUCGCAAGAUUGAAACUCAAAUGAAUUGACGGGG